rnacentral:rRNA from 1 species
GGAGGGGGGGAUCUUAGGACCUCUCGCUACAGGGGCGGCCGAUGGCAGAUUAGCUAGUUGGUGGGGUAAAGGCCUACCAAGGCGACGAUCUGUAGCUGGUCUGAGAGGACGACCAGCCACACUGGGACUGAGACACGGCCCAGACUCCUACGGGAGGCAGCAGUGGGGAAUUUUGGACAAUGGGCGCAACCCUGAUCCAGCAAUGCCGCGUGUGUGAAGAAGGCCUUCGGGUUGUAAAGCACUUUUGUCCGGAAAGAAAACGUCGUGGUUAAUACCCGUGGCGGAUGACGGUACCGGAAGAAUAAGCACCGGCUAACUACGUGCCAGCAGCCGCGGUAAUACGUAGGGUGCAAGCGUUAAUCGGAAUUACUGGGCGUAAAGCGUGCGCAGGCGGUCCGCUAAGACAGAUGUGAAAUCCCCGGGCUUAACCUGGGAACUGCAUUUGUGACUGGCGGG